rnacentral:rRNA from 1 species
UGUUUGAUGUUCUAACGUUGACCCGUGAUCCGGGUUGCGGACAGUGUCUGGUGGGUAGUUUGACUGGGGCGGUCUCCUCCUAAAGAGUAACGGAGGAGCACGAAGGUUGGCUAAUCCUGGUCGGACAUCAGGAGGUUAGUGCAAUGGCAUAAGCCAGCUUGACUGCGAGCGUGACGGCGCGAGCAGGUGCGAAAGCAGGUCAUAGUGAUCCGGUGGUUCUGAAUGGAAGGGCCAUCGCUCAACGGAUAAAAGGUACUCCGGGGAUAACAGGCUGAUACCGCCCAAGAGUUCAUAUCGACGGCGGUGUUUGGCACCUCGAUGUCGGCUCAUCACAUCCUGGGGCUGAAGUAGGUCCCAAGGGUAUGGCUGUUCGCCAUUUAAAGUGGUACGCGAGCUGGGUUUAGAACGUCGUGAGACAGUUCGGUCCCUA